rnacentral:rRNA from 1 species
UACGAAGGGGGCUAGCGUUGUUCGGAAUCACUGGGCGCAAAGGGCGCGUAGGCGGCCGAUCAAGUCGGGGGUGAAAGCCUGUGGCUCAACCACAGAAUUGCCUUCGAUACUGUUUGGCUUGAGACCGGAAGAGGUUAGUGGAACUGCGAGUGUAGAGGUGAAAUUCGUAGAUAUUCGCAAGAACACCAGUGGCGAAGGCGGCUGACUGGUCCGGUUCUGACGCUGAGGCGCGAAAGCGUGGGGAGCAAACAGG